UCCCUGGUGGCUCAGUGGUAAAGAAACUGCCUGCCAAUGCAGAAGACCCAGGUUUGAUCCCUGGUCCAGGAA
rnacentral:tRNA from 1 species